GAGUUCCUGUUCUAUUUUGCCAGUAACACUGCUGUGACUUGCUAAUGGCAUAGUGGAUUCACAAAGGAACCACAAUCUUGAACGUGACUUCAUGGCCAAAUUCAGAAUAAAAGAGGAUACUGAGAGACUUUCAAGAUACUGGGAGAACUGACAAGUCUGAAAAUUGGAAAGAUUUUCCUAAAGUGAGUAAACGAUUUCAGAGUGAAAUAACCAUAAUUGAAAAUGUUCUGAUUUCUAAUUUUCCGUAUGUUUGACUAAGCUUAUUGCUUUCACUGCAGAUAUAGUCAUAGUACCAGGAAGGCAGCAGACAUUUAAGAAUUGUGCCUAGCCUUGAGAGACUCUGUUAUAAGGCAUACACAGUUCCCACAGUGUUGUUUUUUUUUUUUUUUUUUUUUCCCCCCUUUAACUACAAUAGUGAAUGAGAGCUUCUGGUUGAUUCUCUGCAAAUACAUUUGAUAUAUUUUAUGCAUAAACACAAUGGAAACUUUUGUCCCUUGGAAUAAAAACUGUGCAUGUGUUCUGUCUUGGCA
rnacentral:lncRNA from 1 species